rnacentral:rRNA from 1 species
GACGAACGCUGGCGGCGUGCCUAAUACAUGCAAGUAGGACGCAGUUGCGAACGGGUGAGUAACGCGUAGGUAACUACCUAUUAGAGGGGGAUAACUAUUGGAAACGAUAGCUAAUACCGCAUACUAGUAGAUGUACCUGCGUGGUAUUAGCUAGUAGGUAGGGUAAUGGCCUACCUAGGCAACGAUACAUAGCCGACCCUAGAGGGUGAACAGGCACACUGGGACUUAGACAAGGCCCAGACCCCUACGGGAGGCAGCAGUAGGGAAGCAUCGGCAAUGGGGGGAACCCUGACCGAGCAACGCCGGGUGAGUGAAGAAGGGUUUCGGAUCGGAAAGCUCUGGUGUUAAGGAAGCGGUACUUAACCAGAAAGGGACGGCUAACUACGUGCCAGCAGCCGCGGUAAUUC